rnacentral:rRNA from 1 species
CAAUAGCGUAUAUUUAAGUUGUUGCAGUUAAAAAGCUCGUAGUUGGAUUUCGGGUGGGACGCAGCGGUCUCGCAUUGCGUUUGUACUGCUGCAGCCCUCCUUCUUGCCGGGGGCGGCCUCUCGGACUUCACUGUCUGGGGGUCAGAAUCGGCGAUGUUACUUUGAGUAAAUUAGAGUGUUCAAAGCAAGCUUACGCUCUGAAUAUAAUAGCAUGGGAUAACACGACAGGACUCUGGCCUAUCGUGUUGGUCUAUAGGACCAGAGUAAUGAUUAAGAGGGACAGUCGGGGGCAUUCGUAUUCCGUUGUCAGAGGUGAAAUUCUUGGAUUUACGGAAGACGAACAUCUGCGAAAGCAUUUGCCAAGGAUGUUUUCAUUAA